AGCGAACGCUGGCGGCAGGCCUAACACAUGCAAGUCGAACGAACUCUUCGGAGUUAGCGGCGGACGGGUGAGUAACACGUGGGAACGUGCCUUUAGGUUCGGAAUAACUCAGGGAAACUUGUGCUAAUACCGAAUGUGCCCUUCGGGGGAAAGAUUUAUCGCCUUUAGAGCGGCCCGCGUCUGAUUAGCUUGUUGGUGGGGUAAUGGCCCACCAAGGCGACGAUCAGUAGCUGGUCUGAGAGGAUGACCAGCCACAUUGGGACUGAGACACGGCCCAAACUCCUACGGGAGGCAGCAGUGGGGAAUCUUGCGCAAUGGGCGAAAGCCUGACGCAGCCAUGCCGCGUGGAUGAUGAAGGUCUUAGGAUUGUAAAAUCCUUUCACCGGUGAAGAUAAUGACUGUAGCCGGAGAAGAAGCCCCGGCUAACUUCGUGCCAGCAGCCGCGGUAACAC
rnacentral:rRNA from 1 species